CAUUUGUACAGUGGUCUGCUAGCAAGGAUCAGUGCCCCUCCUGUCUGGAAAAGCACAGCCUCUGCGUUGCUCUGACAUGCUCUGCCUCUGUAGGACAGUUCAGCCUGUGUCAGCACAGCCCCGGGCUUGAGGGCACGUAUCCCUUGCAGGCACAGUCAGAGCUAACAGUUACACAGCUUCUGGACUGGUGUCUGCACAUGACUGGCUUGAAGCACAGGCAAAGCAAGCACCAUUGCACCCAUCUGGAUAGAAUUGCCCUGAGGUACUGAACAGGAAGGAGACUGAUCUGGAUGAUGGAAGAUUUCCCCAUC
rnacentral:lncRNA from 1 species